rnacentral:rRNA from 1 species
GAUGAACGCUGGCGGCGCGCCUAACACAUGCAAGUCGAACGAUUAAAGCACCUUCGGGUGUGUAUAAAGUGGCGAACGGCUGAGUAACACGUGGGCAACCUGCCCCUCUCAUUGGGAUAGCCACGGGAAACCGCGGAUAAUAUCGAAUACUUCGAGACUUCCGCAUGAAAGACUCGAGAAAGCUCCGGCGGAGAGGGAUGGGCCCGCGGCCUGUUAGCUUGUUGGUGGGGUAACGGCCUACCAAGGCAAUGAUGGGUAGCUGGGUUGAGAGACCGACCAGCCAGAUUGGGACUGAGACACGGCCCAGACUCCUACGGGAGGCAGCAGUGGGGAAUCUUGCACAAUGGGCGAAAGCCUGAUGCAGCGACGCCGCGUGCGGGAUGAAGGCCUUCGGGUUGUAAACCGCUUUCAGCAGGGACGAGGCGAAAGUGACGGUACCUGCAGAAGAAGCCCCGGCUAACUACGUGCCAGCAGCCGCGGUAAUACGUAGGGGGCAAGCGUUAUCCGGAUUCAUUGGGCGUAAAGCGCUCGUAGGCGGUCUGUUAGGUCGGGAGUUAAAUCCGGGGGCUCAACCCCCGUUCGCUCCCGAUACCGGCAGACUUGAGUUUGGUAGGGGAAAGGUGGAAUUCCUAGUGUAGCGGUGGAAUGCGCAGAUAUUAGGAAGAACACCAGUGGCGAAGGCGGCCUUCUGGGCCAUAACUGACGCUGAGGAGCGAAAGCUAGGGGAGCAAACAGG